rnacentral:rRNA from 1 species
UACGGAGGGUGCGAGCGUUAAUCGGAAUUACUGGGCGUAAAGCGCACGUAGGCGGUUCUGUAAGUGGGAUGUGAAACCCCCGGGCUUAACCUGGGAAUUGCAUACCAGACUGCAAAGCUAGAGUAUGAGAGAGGGUGGUGGAAUUUCCGGUGUAGCGGUGAAAUGCGUAGAGAUCGGAAGGAACAUCAGUGGCGAAGGCGGCCACCUGGCUUAAUACUGACGCUGAGGUGCGAAAGCGUGGGGAUCAAACAGG